CACAGAAGCAAAAAGGCCAAGCUUUGAAUGCAGCUUCUGCUCAAAAAGCUAUUGAUAUUUUGAAGGCCCAUCCUGACUUAAUACAGGCAUUCCAAGCUGCUACAACAGCUGGAGGGUCUGGGAGUUCGGGCACCUCUGUCAACAAAUCUCUUAAUGCUGCGAUAAUUGGUGACAAUCCUCCUUGAGGGAGGGGAGUUGAUGAAAGAGCUGCCCGUGCAGCAACUGAAGUCAGAAAGAAAGCUGCAGCUAGGGGCCUCUUGAUACGUCCACAUGGCGUUCCGGUGCAAGCUAUGCCACCACUUACUCAACUCCUCAAUAUUAUCAAUUCAGGUAUGACCCCUGAUGCGGCAGAAGGUGGGGAAACUGAUGGAGUGAAGAAGGAAGCCAAUGGCCAUCCUUCAAAUGG